ACACCCACUGGUGGAGGAAAGAUAAGGCUGUCAAUGCAAGCCCAGUUACGGUGGUCUUGGAUUUGUGCGCUGUACCACACAAUUGACUGGGAGCUGUAUUUAAAGGGGCUCUCUUUAGUUCAAACUCCGCUUUAUUAUAAUAAAUUUUCGGUCCCCAUAGAAUUCCGCUGUAUAGAUUCUACUGAUUUUACUGUAUAAGAUUCUACUAUACAAGUAAAUAAGGCUUAUUUUCCAUAGCUACCAAGUGACGCAAACACACACACGAAAAAAAAAAAAAAACACAGAAUACAUGAAGCAGAAGAAUCAAUGCACGAAGUCCAUUGUUUUGUUAGGCCGGCUAAUCUUGAAAUACAAUGUUAUGUCAAAAUGUAGCCCUCUUAAACCUAUAAAACUGGGACGAAUACAUUGUUGCGCUAACAGGAAAUAAAGACUUGGAAAGAAAAGCAGGAAAUGACAGGUCGAGUGCCGAGUUUGAUUGUUUUAUUCGUACAGCACAGCUGGCAGAAACAACAGAUGCGCAUGCCUACAGCAAUUACAGUGAUGUUUCUUAACAGCUGCAUCUUGUUGUCAAACAGAAAAACAGAUGUAUCACUAACGUGACUCAUGCCCCUCUUUUUCAUGUGAUAUGCCUACAAAAGGUCUCUUGCUAACGUAUCAUCACUCCUGCCAAUUAUCUUAACCUCAAGCAGUAGCGGCCGACAUCUGUCGGCCAAGCAAACCACGCAAUGUGCAGCAAUGCCGUGAUGCUUUCACCGUCUAGAAGCCACUCAGAAAGUGACCGAGAGGCCUCAACUGGAAAAAACACACUUGAAACAGAAUUUCGCAUUUCACUACCUUUCGGCUCGGACACCCAGCAGCCAGACUUCAUCGUUAUAACCGAUAAUGCAGCAUCGGCGCAUUGUAAGGCAGCAAUUGAGGAACGACCCAACGUGAGCUAAUAUGCUGUCACACUCUAUCAAAAUAGUGGCAGACGGGCGCAUAAAACUGCUGCCUGAGUGUCAUCUGUGACUCAAAGAGUACCUUUGAAUCAUUGAGCCCGCCUUGAGCAGCUGCACCUUUUCCUAAGGUGGCACGAAGAAGGACGUUCCCCGUAGCUGUGAUCUCAUCGGCCAACUUUCUGCAUAGGAGUUCCGGUCGUCAGUAGAAGUUUGCAACAAGGUAUUCCAAGGGGAAAAUCAAGUCUUUUCGGUUAGCAGAAAUGGUGGGCCUCCUAACCAAAACAUGCCCCAGAGCCCACAACAAGCUCUUUGUGGUAGGCAAGCGACAGGUCUCUUGUAAUUCCAGCUGGUAACUGUUGAAAGCACCACAAAUCAGUUUCGUGUGCAUAUUUUUAAAUUGUAUAUUUUUUGCAGCCAUGAUUUAGGCAAAAUGACUCUUAUUAGUUACUGGAAAGAUUUCUUCAAGAAAGCUUUGUGAAUGCACCUUUGCUCCCUUUCAAGUUAAAGUUCUGUUCAAGUUUUAGCCUGUUCUUCUGUUCUUUCGCUGCACUGCUUGCUUUAUUCGAAAAUAAAGGCUACUACAUUUAAUGAUACUCACA